rnacentral:misc_RNA from 1 species
AAUUCUCAACCUCACCAGUUUUGUAAUGAGACAGGUGAAGGCUUGGAUGUGGGGGUUUGCAGGCUGCCUCAGUGCUGGUCUGCUCCUCUGAAAUGCAUUAGCGAGCUCAUAUUGAGCUUCCGUCUAUUGGUGUGAUAACUAUCUAUGCCGUGGAUUGGAACUCAUGCUUGCUUCUAACCGUCCGCAAGGACAAUUUACUUGACCA